ACCGCCCUAACCUAACCUAACCUAUUCAAGAGUCUAAAUGAUAAGAACAAAAUUAAAUCAAUUUUUCAAUCAAAUGAAUCGAUCCCCCUAAAAAUGAAAAUAAAUCAUAGAUAUAGAUAUGGCGCUGCCAUAUUCUAUUUGCAUUGCAGCGGUGAGGGCGACAUCCAGAGCUUACGUCCGUGCCCCCACAUUGAAGGAAAAUCGAGACGCACAAGCGAAUCCUGCAAAAGGAAAUGCCCCAGAAUAGUAGUUUACUUAUUCUGCAGUGUACAUACAUAUAUGUAUUUGGUUAGCAUUUCUUUUAGAUUUGUUUAAUUCGUUGUUAUUUCCAACUUAUGUAUGUUCGAUGUUGUUUAUUAUGCAUUCAGCAUUCUGUAUUUAUUUUCUUUCGUUCUACAUUUUCUGUUCCUUCUUUCUUGUAACAUUAAAUCUAUUCCUUGAGUUUCAUUUCGUUUUCUUAACGAAUCGCCGCCCCCUAAUCAACAGCACUGAUAGAUACAGAGUGUAUGUAUUUUUCUUUUCCUAUUAGAAUGCUUUUAAAUUUCGAUAUCGUUCUUAGUUAUUAUGAGACAAAGUCUUUGCCUUUUGUAUAAGUCUUUUCCACCCACUCCUUUGCGGGGAGCAACAUCUGCGAACUAACACAGAAAAAUACAAACAGAAUAUAAGGGAAUAACAAAAACCUGGACCCUCUUUCAGUGGCAUGUUCUUUGGAUCUGCCUUGGGCUCCUAUCCUUCCUUACUUAUAGACUACCCAACCAUGUACCCUAUAUCUGUAUUUUUUUAGUCUUGAUCAGAGUCCUCAUCAUAACAACUGUCAAUCGGCGAUGGCUCCGAGUCGCUUGCAAAUAGCUCUUCUAGAUCCUGCAUCUCCGUCUGAGCACCCAAACGUUGAGCGACUUCCCUCAAAAUGACAAUCACAG